rnacentral:rRNA from 1 species
GGGGCAUCAUGAGGUAGCAAUACCUUGAUGGCGACCGGCGCACGGGUGAGUAACGCGUAUGCAACCUGCCCGAUACCGGGGUAUAGCCCAUGGAAACGUGGAUUAACACCCCAUAGUACUUUUAUCCUGCAUGGGAUGUGAGUUAAAUGUUCAAGGUAUCGGAUGGGCAUGCGUCCUAUUAGUUAGUUGGCGGGGUAACAGCCCACCAAGACGAUGAUAGGUAGGGGUUCUGAGAGGAAGGUCCCCCACAUUGGAACUGAGACACGGUCCAAACUCCUACGGGAGGCAGCAGUGAGGAAUAUUGGUCAAUGGACGUAAGUCUGAACCAGCCAAGUCGCGUGAGGGAAGACUGCCCUAUGGGUUGUAAACCUCUUUUAUAAGGGAAGAAUAAGUUCUACGUGUAGAAUGAUGCCUGUACCUUAUGAAUAAGCAUCGGCUAACUCCGUGCCAGCAGCCGCGGUAAUACGGAGGAUGCGAGCGUUAUCCGGAUUUAUUGGGUUUAAAGGGUGCGUAGGCGGUUUAUUAAGUUAGUGGUUAAAUAUUUGAGCUAAACUCAAUUGUGCCAUUAAUACUGGUAAACUGGAGUACAGACGAGGUAGGCGGAAUAAGUUAAGUAGCGGUGAAAUGCAUAGAUAUAACUUAGAACUCCGAUAGCGAAGGCA